UUCCUUGAGGAGUGGCUUCCGGAGCUAACGCGUUAAGUCGACCGCCUGGGGAGUACGGCCGCAAGGUUAAAACUCAAAUGAAUUGACGGGGGCCCGCACAAGCGGUGGAGCAUGUGGUUUAAUUCGAUGCAACGCGAAGAACCUUACCUACUCUUGACAUCCAGCGAACUUUCCAGAGAUGGAUUGGUGCCUUCGGGAACGCUGAGACAGGUGCUGCAUGGCUGUCGUCAGCUCGUGUUGUGAAAUGUUGGGUUAAGUCCCGCAACGAGCGCAACCCUUAUCCUUUGUUGCCAGCGAUUCGGUCGGGAACUCAAAGGAGACUGCCGGUGAUAAACCGGAGGAAGGUGGGGAUGACGUCAAGUCAUCAUGGCCCUUACGAGUAGGGCUACACACGUGCUACAAUGGCGCAUACAAAGAGAAGCGACCUCGCGAGAGCAAGCGGACCUCAUAAAGUGCGUCGUAGUCCGGAUCGGAGUCUGCAACUCGACUCCGUGAAGUCGGAAUCGCUAGUAAUCGUGGAUCAGAAUGCCACGGUGAAUACGUUCCCGGGCCUUGUACACACCGCCCGUCACACCAUGGGAGUGGGUUGCAAAAGAAGUAGGUAGCUUAACCUCCGGGAGGGCGCUUACCACUUUGUGAUUCAUGACUGGGGUGAAG
rnacentral:rRNA from 1 species